UACGUAGGGGGCUAGCGUUGUCCGGAUUUAUUGGGCGUAAAGAGCGUGUAGGCGGCCUGGUAGGUCUGCUGUGAAAACUCGAGGCUCAACCUCGAGAUGUCGGCGGAAACCAUCUGGCUAGGGUCCGGAAGAGGAGAGUGGAAUUCCUGGUGUAGCGGUGAAAUGCGUAGAUAUCUGGAGGAACACCGGUGGCGAAGGCGACAUCCUGGACCGGUAUUGACGCUGAGGCGCGAAAGCCAGGGGAGCAAACGGG
rnacentral:rRNA from 1 species